UACAGAGGGGGCAAGCGUUGUUCGGAAUUACUGGGCGUAAAGCGUGCGCAGGCGGCUUGCCAAGUCAGAUGUGAAAGCCCCGGGCUCAACCCGGGAACUGCGUUUGAAACUGGCAGGCUAGAGUUUGGCAGAGGGGGGUGGAAUUCCACGUGUAGCAGUGAAAUGCGUAGAGAUGUGGAGGAACACCGAUGGCGAAGGCAGCCCCCUGGGCCAAAACUGACGCUCAGGCACGAAAGCGUGGGGAGCAAACAGG
rnacentral:rRNA from 1 species